GACAGCGUGUCCGAGUGGUUAAGGAGAUGGACUUGAAAUCCAUUGAGCUCUGCCUGCGCAGGUUCGAAUCCUGCCGCUGUCG
rnacentral:tRNA from 1 species